rnacentral:lncRNA from 1 species
CAGCUUUACCUAGAAACCUAGUCUGUUGUCAACAAAAGUCACAUGCCCCAUUUCUCAUGCAGUGUCUGAGGACAGAGCCUGUCCCAUACUCUCCCUCCUGCUGGCAGCAACACAGCUCUGUGAGCUCCAGCCCGGAGGUCUGGAAAUACAU